rnacentral:lncRNA from 1 species
CUUGGUUGGACCACCCACAUCAGCACAGAGGAUGCGAUGUCACUCAACUUCUGCCUCCUUCACUGAGACAUUCUCCAUUGAAGCCUGAGUCACUGUGCAAAAGCUUGACUUCCCAGGGGUUACAAAGAUAUAAGGAAGACCUUGUCACAUGACGAAGACAGGACCAGGCACUGCAAUUGAUGGUCUUAGCUAUUCGUGGAGUUUGGAAUAUUCUAGCCCAGGAAUCAAGCAUGAAAAGAAUAAAUCAUUCUAUUUCAUAAAGAAAGGAGAUGAGAAUGAAUGAAAAGUUACAUAUCCAAAGGUUAACCCAAUUAUUUCAAGAGACAAAUGGAAGAUUCUACAAUGUCAUAGUUAUUACAAAAUAUAUGUGUGUGCCUGAGUGUGUACCAUGUUCAUGAAGGAGCCUGAGGAGGUCUGAGGAAGCACUGGAUGCCCGAGAACUGAAGCUACAGAUGGCUGUGACCCACCAUGUCAGUGCUGGAGCCAAACGAACCCAGCCCUGCCCCCAUGUUGUCUUGUCAUUGAC